AACGAACGCUGGCGGCAUGCCUAACACAUGCAAGUCGAACGAGACCUUCGGGUCUAGUGGCGCCCGGGUGCGUAACGCGUGGGAACCUGCCCUUAGGUUCGGCAUAACUCCCCGACAGGGGUGCUAAUACCGGAUAAUGUCUUCGGACCAAAGAUUUUUCGCCUUUGGAUGGGCCCGCGUUGGAUUAGCUAGUUGGUAGGGUAAAAGCCUACCAAGGCGACGAUCCAUAGCUGGUCUGAGAGGAUGAUCAGCCACACUGGGACUGAGACACGGCCCAGACUCCUACGGGAGGCAGCAGUGGGGAAUAUUGGACAAUGGGCGAAAGCCUGAUCCAGCAAUGCCGCGUGAGUGAUGAAGGCCUUAGGGUUGUAAAGCUCUUUUACCCGGGAUGAUAAUGACAGUACCGGGAGAAUAAGCUCCGGCUAACUCCGUG
rnacentral:rRNA from 1 species